rnacentral:rRNA from 1 species
UCCGACGGGAGGCAGCAGUGGGGAAUCUUGCGCAAUGGGCGAAAGCCUGACGCAGCCAUGCCGCGUGAAUGAUGAAGGUCUUAGGAUUGUAAAAUUCUUUCACCGGGGACGAUAAUGACGGUACCCGGAGAAGAAGCCCCGGCUAACUUCGUGCCAGCAGCCGCGGUAA